UACGUAGGGUGCGAGCGUUGUCCGGAAUUAUUGGGCGUAAAGAGCUUGUAGGCGGUUUGUCGCGUCUGCUGUGAAAAUCCGGGGCUCAACCCCGGACUUGUAGUGGGUACGGGCAGACUAGAGUGUGGUAGGGGAGACUGGAAUUCCUGGUGUAGCGGUGAAAUGCGCAGAUAUCAGGAGGAACACCGAUGGCGAAGGCAGGUCUCUGGGCCACUACUGACGCUGAGAAGCGAAAGCAUGGGGAGCGAACAGG
rnacentral:rRNA from 1 species